rnacentral:lncRNA from 1 species
AGAGACAUCAGCACCACUGCAGGGAUAAGUAAGGUCAUCUCAUUCUAGACUUCAGAAAUCUGAAAGGGUUUAUGAAUGUGAGGGUUUGUGAGUGUCCAAAUCACACAGUCACAUUGGAGUUUGCACUGCAACAGAUGCCUGAAGAAAUGCACUGCUGUCAAAGCUGCUCUCCUACGUGUAUUCUCUGGUGUCACACCACAGGCACCCAACCAUGAAACCACAAGUCACCCAACCAUGAAACAGUAACUGGACUGUGUUGGACCCCGUGCUCAAUUCAUUUUCAUUUCUCUGUUAACACAGUUAAAGCAGCUGAAGGCCAGCAGGUAUAGUGUGAAACGUAUUUUGGUCUGAAGAGUCAUAGUCUGUGCACACAAACAUAAUGUCACAACCUUGUGCAAGUGCUGUACAGCCCACAGAGAACCAUGAAGUUCUCACAUCCUGACAUCUGAUGAGAAGAGUUGCACUAAAUGACACACAGCAGUAAUAAGAAACACACAACAAGUAAGGUCAAUAGAUACCCGUGAGUUUGUCAUGGCAAUCAAUCUAGAUGAAGCAGUAAAGAAGUGGCAGAUAUGACCAAAUAUCACAGCCUGGCCAAAAGAAUGCAGUUUAUUAGGUGGAUUUUGUUGCACCUGCAUUCAAGGUUCAGUCAUUCCUCAACAGUUGGUGACCACAACGUCACAAUUCAGUGAUGGACUUAAAAGGAGGCAGCUGUCACCAGCUGGAGGAGAGAUUCACAGCUAGCCAGACUACGCUAAAAUAUGCUGAGAGCAGCUUAACACCAGCUCCUCUUUCUCUCACCCCUUCACCUCCUUGCUUGUUUCUUAUUCUUACACCCUAUAUUUCAGGCCAUGCCCUUUGGGGACAUUUCCUCUGUCUCUCUCCUGUGCCUGUGGCAACACAAGUCCCACCCCUACAAAAGGUGUCCGCACGCUCUCACAGAGAAAGUGUUGGUGUGAGACGACAAAACCAUCCUGCUAUUUCAGCUCAUAAGUAUUCCCGUGUACGACGGCAGCACCCAAACGGGAUCCUGUUAUUUCAGCUGGAUUUGUUCACAUUCAUUUCACUUACAAAAGGACAGAGAAAGAGUUUGCUGUUUCCUUCAUCGGAUGUGACAAGGUGCAAUGCAUAAUGAAGAAAAUGCCAUAAUUGCUCAAUAAAGGCACUUUAUUAAG